UCGGGAAUUUUGGGCAAUGGGCGAAAGCCUGACCCAGCAACGCCGCGUGAGGGAUGAAGUAUUUCGGUAUGUAAACCUCGAAAGAAUGGGAAGAAUAAAUGACGGUACCAUUUAUAAGCUCCGGCUAACUACGUGCCAGCAGCCGCGGUAAUACGUAGGGAGCAAGCGUUGUUCGGAUUUACUGGGCGUAAAGGGCGCGUAGGCGGCGCGGUAAGUCACUUGUGAAAUCUCUGAGCUUAACUCAGAACGGCCAAGUGAUACUGCUGUGAUAGAGUGCGGAAGAGGCAACCGGAAUUCUUGGUGUAGCGGUGAAAUGCGUAGAUAUCAAGAGGCACACCUGAGGCGAAGGCGGGUUGCUGGGCCGACACUGACGCUGAUGCGCGAAAGCCAGGGGAGCAAACG
rnacentral:rRNA from 1 species